rnacentral:lncRNA from 1 species
GUCUCUCUCUGUCUCUCUCUGUCUCCCUCUCUCUCUGGUUUUGGUUUUGGUUUUGGUUUUUAAUGGCUGCACCUGCUGCACAUGGAGUUUCCCAGGCUAGGGGUCUAAUCAGAACUACAGCUGCCGGCAUAUACCACAGCCACAGCAAGUCACGAUGUGAGCCGAGUCGGUGACCUACAGCACAGCGCAUGGCAACACCAGAUCCUUAACCCACUGAGCGAGUCCAGGGAUCAAACCUGCAGCCUCAUGCUUUCUAGUCAGUUUUGGUUCCCCGUGCCACAACGGAACUCCAAUUUCCUCCUUUUGUCUGUCAGUUUCAACUAUGCAAGUCUACACUGUUCAAAUCAGUGGAGACCUACAUUUUUCCUGGGUUGGACGAGUGUUGACGGAAUGUCUCUCCCAAUGCAUGACUGAUUGAAAAAUUGACAGCAGCCUCUAGAAACUGGAAGUGCGGCUGAGAGCAAUGUUACCAGCAGAGAAUUGCCCUCCUUGCAAGAGAAUUUGGUGGGUUUUGGUCAAAGUACACAUAAGAAUUCCUACAGGAAGAUUGAAGCCUUUGUCCAGGAUGACCUCUGUGUUUUCUUUGGGACCGUGGACUCGAGGAGUGUUUCCUUUUGGGUUUUGCUGGCAGAAAGACCAUGAAAAUUCUCAUGUCCAUAGAGACCAGGAAGCUUAGAUUCUCACACUGUUUUCUUGCACUAGAUGCCGGCCGAUGACGCAACUAAUAAUAAUGGCAUGGCUUUGGAGCGCCCCACUCCAGUGACAAACAAUCGGGGUGAAGAAGAAGAAGAUUGCAUAGGAUGCUGCUUCCGGAUCCAAAGGAACAAUCGACAGACGUCACAAAGAUCCACCUCUGGCUGCAUCAGAAAUUAUGCUCCUGGCGCCACCAGCGAGUGCACCCCGCUAAUGGGUCGGGGACAGGUACGUGGAGAUUUUCUCCUUCGGUGCAUGCAAGAAUAAUUUUUCUUUAGGGUCCCCUGUAUACGAAUGAACUCGGAAGUAUUUUGUGGUAUCCUUUGUGCGUGCGUGUGCGUGCGUGUGCGUGUGUGUGUCCAAGUUGAAACAUACUUAGUCAGGUGGUAGUGUUUAUAUACCUGUGGAAAUAAAACGACUUUGAAAUCUCA